rnacentral:rRNA from 1 species
UUCCGGUUGAUCCCGCCGGACCUUACUGCUAUCGGGAUGAGACUAAGCCAUGCAUGUCGAGCGCUCUUCAGCUAUGUAGAGAGCGCGGCGAACGGCUCAAUAACACGUAGUUAACCUACCCUCGGGAUGGGAAUAACCCCGGGAAACUGGGAUUAAUACCCACUAGAUGAUUAUACCUGGAAUGGCUUAUCAUCGAAAGAGUCUGGAAACAUGCUUCCAGCGUCGCCCGAGGAUGGGACCGCGUCCGAUCAGGUAGUUGGUAGGGUAAUGGCCUACCAAGCCUAUAACCGGUACGGGCCCUGAGAGGGGGAGCCCGGAGAUGGAAACUGAGAAAAGGUUCCAGGCCCUACGGGGUGCAGCAGGCGCGAAACCUCCACAAUGCGCGAAAGCGUGAUGGGGUUAUCCCGAGUGCCGUCCGAUGAGGAUGGCUUUUUAUCGAUGUAAGGAUUCGAUAGAAUAAAGGGGGGGCAAGACUGGUGUCAGCCGCCGCGGUAAUACCAGCCCCCUGAGUGGUAAGGACGAUUAUUUGGCCUAAAGCGUUCGUAGCCGGCUUAUCAAGUCUUUUGUUAAAUCCAACGAUUUAAUCGUUGGGCUGCAAAAGAUACUGUUAUGCUAGAGGACGGGAGAGGUCGACGGUAGUCCAGGGGUAGGGGUGAAAUCCUAUAAUCCUUGGAGGACCACCAGUGGCGAAGGCGGUCGACUAGAACGUGCCUGACGGUGAGGGACGAAAGCUGGGGGAGCGAACCGGAUUAGAUACCCGGGUAGUCCCAGCUGUAAACGAUGCGGGCUAGGUGUUGGGGCAGCCACGAGCUGCUCCAGUGCCGCAGAGAAGUUGUUAAGCCCGCCGCCUGGGGAGUACGGCCGCAAGGCUGAAACUUAAAGGAAUUGGCAGGGGAGCACCACAAGGGGUGAAGGCUGCGGUUUAAUUGGAGUCAACGCCGGA